CCCGGGGGGAGGCAGGAGAGCAGGUGGCUGACAUGACACAUGGCUUGGGGUUAGGGGUAUCAGCGAGGCAAGUGCCAGGGUUCAAAGGACAGCGAGGUCCUUUCUCAGACCUUGGGCACAUGGCUAAGUCUUUCUAAGCCUUGGUUUCCUCAUCUGUAAAGUGGGCAUAAUGGUUAGUAUUUAUGUUACAGCAUCGGUGAGAUACCAUCUACCACGUAACAUAGUAACAUAUUUUGAAAAUCGACUGAUGUUUUUUUUUCCCCAUUGUGUUUCCUUCCUUCCCCACCCUUCUCCCAUUCAAGCAGCCAAGCUCAUGGCCUCCGGGAGAGGAUGUGACAGAAGAAGGCAAAGGGAAUAGAAGGAGUCUCUUCCUGACUUUUGUGUGCAAAAGCCUUGGCUGUAGGGGAAACUACAAAGGGAACAAAUGCAGGAGAAAAACAUCCUGACCCACAGCAGCCCAGCCCUUCUGUGUUGACGACACAUACACAGUUCCGGCCGAGUACGGUUUCCCGCCGUGGACGUCCCAGGGCUCGCCUGCUCGGCCAGCCACGAGCUAGGCUUCCAAUCCAGGACUGCGAACUUCGGGGCCACGUCUUCUACGUCUUUGUGUUCCUGAUGCACCGCUGCCCAGCCUCACGGUAAGUGAGGCGAGAACACCGUUAACAGUGGUGACAAGCGAGCUCCGAGCGCACAUCCUGGGCUAAGAACACGCUAAGCCCCUUGACUUGCAUUAGUUCAUUUAAUUUUCCUGACCACCCCGUGAGGCCAUAGGUUGGCACCCCCACUCACUUGGAUGUGGCAACGGGUCCAGAGAGGUUUUCAGUGACUCAUCAAACAUUCCCCAGCUGAUAAGCAGUGGGACCUGGCCUUGAAGCCAGGUGUCCGGGUCCAAAUCCUGCUCUCAUAACCACAUCAUGAACCAUCCCCCGCCUUGGACAUUCUCUUCCCCGCACUUGACCUCUUUCCUCCCCUGCGCAGCAUCUAGAACAGACCUGGGCGUGCAGAAAGUGCUUAAUUAAUGCGUGUAGACGGUCUGUUGGAUGAGGCGGCCGGUGACGGAUCGAGACUCACAAGACCCUGGCAUCUAGUAACACCGCAUCUACAGGAAACACUGCAGCCACGCCUCACCUCUGGCCUGUCACACUCCUAUAGCCUGACACCCUUUCUGUCCCCACGUGGGGGUGCGGGCUGGGUUUCUAGCCAGCCCCGGACAUCACUCCUGACAAGCGUCCUUUGCUCCCAGAGCCGAAACAACAUACGGAAAACCCAGGUCCCUCUUUCAAGCCCUCCGAAUCAGAGCCACAGGGGCCUAUAAAGUUCAGGUUAUGAAGUGUCACGGGGUCUGUAACGACCUCUUCUUAUUGCCUAAGCACACACCAGAAAUCUGUUCGUUUCUGGGCAGGGGCUAAUGGAAAAAGAGGGAAACUUUCCAUGUAUUUAUUAUGUGAAACAUCACAUACGGGGGAUAUGCACAGUGAUAUGUAAUUAGACAUAAAAUGAGCCAGACUUGAGGAUUUGCCAAAAAUCUGCCGCAGAAUAAUGAAACUGCUUUACGAGGC